AUUGAACGCUGGCGGCAGGCUUAACACAUGCAAGUCGAGCGGGGGAAGGUAGCUUGCUACCGGACCUAGCGGCGGACGGGGGAGUAAUGCUUAGGAAUCUGCCUAUUAGUGGGGGACAACAUCUCGAAAGGGAUGCUAAUACCGCAUACGUCCUACGGGAGAAAGCAGGGGAUCUUCGGACCUUGCGCUAAUAGAUGAGCAGAAGUCGUAUUAGCUAGUUGGUGGGGUAAAGGCCUACCAAGGCGACGAUCUGUAGCGGGUCUGAGAGGAUGAUCCGCCACACUGGGACUGAGACACGGCCCAGACUACUACGGGAGGCAGCAGUGGGAAAUAUUGGACAAUGGGGGGAACCCUGAUCCAGCCAUGCCGCGUGUGUGAAGAAGGCCUUAUGGUUGUAAAGCACUUUAAGCGAGGAGGAGGCUACUCUAGUUAAUACCCAGGGAUAGUGGACGUUACUCGCAGAAUAAGCACCGGCUAACUCCGUGCCAGCAGCCGCGGUAA
rnacentral:rRNA from 1 species